UAGUCACAGCCACUUGGCUGGAAGCGCGCUCUAGGAGCCACCCGGAGCGUAAAGCGCGAGGGCGUUGCGGCGUUGCCACGCGGGAAAGUGAGGCUGCGCGGACUGAGAAGGUGUCAGGGCGUGCAGUGGGACUUAGACCUUAGGGUCUCGCCAUGUUGCUCUGGUUGUCCUUAAACUCAUUCUGUAGCCCAGACUGGUCUUGAACUUGCAACAGUCCUCCUGCCACAGCUUCCUGAGUGCUGGGAUUACAGCACCACCCACCCAGUUCUGUGAACCAGUGUUUUCAAAAUAAUCAACCAAAACACUGUGGGAACCAGCAUCCGAUGAUCCCUACUCACCUGGCAUUCAUUUUCUUGUGAAGUUGCUGCCCAAGUUGCAACAGACUAUGGAAGAUAACAGAAGUGGUGUUCAUGGAGAAGGAGGUCCAGCUAAGCAUUUAAGGCCUUGGAGUUAAGUCAACAGGAGAAGAAUCGAGUGAAGUUACAGAUGAGGAAGAAGUCAAGAAACUUCAAAAGAAAGACUAACAAGCCAUAUUUAGUAACAAGGUCCGAGAUGUACAUACCAUCAAUACUACGGAAAUCCA